GAUGAACGCUGGCGACAGGCUUAACACAUGCAAGUCGAGGGGAAACGGCAGUGGGUGCUUGCACUGAAUGGACGUCGACCGGCGCACGGGUGAGGAACGCGUAUCCAACCUUCCCGUUACUGCACGAUAACCAGCCGAAGCGCAGACUAAUACCGCAUUUUCUUCGAUGACUGCAUCAGAUUCGGAGCAAAGAUCCGUCGGUAACGGAGGGAGAUGCGUCUGAUUAGCUAGUUGGCGAGGCGACGGCCCACCAAGGCGACGAUCAGUAGGCGUUCUGAGAGGAAGGUCCCCCAGAUUGGAGCUGAGACACGGUCCAAAAUGGUACGGGAGGCAGCAGUAAGGAAUAUUGGUGAAGGGGCGGUAGCCUGAACAAGCCAAGUAGCGUGCAGGAGGACGGCCAUACGGGUUGUAAGCUGCUUUUAUGCGGGGAUAAAGUGAGGGACGCGUCACUUUUUGAAGGUACCGAAUGAAUAAGGCCCGGCUAAUUCCGUG
rnacentral:rRNA from 1 species